rnacentral:rRNA from 1 species
CCUACGGGAGGCAGCAGUGGGGAAUAUUGGACAAUGGGGGCAACCCUGAUCCAGCAAUGCCGCGUGUGUGAAGAAGGUCUUCGGAUUGUAAAGCACUUUCGACGGGGACGAUGAUGACGGUACCCGUAGAAGAAGCCCCGGCUAACUUCGUGCCAGCAGCCGCGGUAAUACGUAGGUGCCAGCAGCCGCGGUAAUACGUAGGUGCCAGCAGCCGCGGUAAUACGUUCUGCCAGCAGCCGCGGUA